AUCAGAUGUUGCUGUUGUCAAGCCAUCACAAGGUCCUCAGUGAAGUCUGGCUAUCUUCCCAAGUGUGGGAUCUUUCCAAAGUUGUUGAACUGGAGCUUUUUGGUAUAGCAAAUAUUAUAUUUUAAUUAUGAGACUCAUCUCACCACAUUUCAGUUUCUCUUUUCACAGCCAUACUGUAUGAUUCACCAGGGUUCUUCAUGAAAGUAGGAGUGGUGUGAAGAGGAAACACAUAAAACUCAGCAUUGAGAGAGUGGCCUUAAGUACUCUUGUCCCACAGGUCACCAUGGUUUACAGGCAAAGUAAUAACUGAGACAGUUAACACGCUGAUGGCACAAGUCUCAUGCUGAAGUU